AGUGAACGCUGGCGGCAGGCCUAACACAUGCAAGUCGAACGGCAGCACAGUAAGAGCUUGCUCUUACGGGUGGCGAGUGGCGGACGGGUGAGGAAUACAUCGGACUCUACUCUUUCGUGGGGGAUAACGUAGGGAAACUUACGCUAAUACCGCAUACGACCUACGGGUGAAAGCAGGGGAUCUUCUGACCUUGCGCGAUUGAAUGAGCCGAUGUCGUAUUAGCUAGUUGGCGGGGUAAAGGCCCACCAAGGCGACGAUCCGUAGCUGGUCUGAGAGGGUGGUCAGCCACACUGGAACUGAGACACGCUCCAGACUCCUACGGGAGGCAGCAGUGGGGAAUAUUGGACAAAGGGCGCAAGCCUGAUCCAGCCAUACCGCGUCGGUGAAGAAGGCCUUCGGGUUGUAAAGCCCUUUUGUUGGGAGAGAAAAGCAGCAGGUUAAUACCCCGCUGUUCUGACGGUACCCAAAGAAUAAGCACCGGCUAACUUCGUG
rnacentral:rRNA from 1 species